AGCAACCAAAGCAACACAAACAUUGACUACCAGAAGUUUGAAGCUGCACCCUAUUUUCAGAGACAAAACUACCAUUCGUCACUCAGAUAUGUUGACAGCACCAGACUCCCAGGGAACGACAGGAGAAAGGAGCCACAAUCAAAUAAAUCAAGACCCAUUCAACACUGAAUUUACCAAGACACUGACAAAAAGCAGCCCACACUUUGGGGCCUUGAGUCACCACUCAUUCUUCUCCCAGCACAACCCUCAUCCACAACGGGCGACACAUAUUCAAGGACUCAAUGGCAGGCCAAUUUGCAUGGUACGAGAUGACUGGUGUGUCACCUCAUCAUUAUUUCCUCAUCCACUUCUCAAGAGCCACGUCCUCAGGAAAUCACCCGGGCCCGCUCUUACCUUCCCACUCACUCAAAACCUCCAUGCAGUCAGCGGAAACAAUAAUAAAUCAGCACUGUUUUCAGAAGCCUGGAGGGAUGAACUUAAAGAACUUGUUGCAAAAGUCAAUCUGUCUUUUCGAGCACAAUUGGGAAAAAUGAGGACCAACCUGAGGAUGAAUUUGUGUGCCAAAAGACUCAGUAUUCAGCUGAUACUGGGAGAAUCAUCUCUCCAUCCAGCAAGUCUUACCUGCACAGAUCUCAUUCCCAGCACCUAAAGUAUCCUCAACCCUUCCAGGAUCAAGAACUCACGGUUUUGGAGCUGCUCUGUCAGAUCCUGCAGACAGACUCACUGUCCACAGUGUAGCAGUGGCUUCUGCUUGCAGGCCAAAGAGGUAAAACACGUCAUUCCACAUGGAGAGCCAAGUUAUAAAUACAACCAACUCUCACUUACAUUUGGAGUCUCCAGACUAAUGCUUUCUAUUGCAGGAGCCUUUCAAAGUCUGCUUCCACCCACAAAUGGCAUAAUAUAUGACACAUUACAAGCCAAUGGCAGUGAAUUUAUAUCAACUAGGCAUUUCUCAGAUGGUUGGCAAAUGGUCAGAAUGAGUUUGCUGCUCAGAUCUUGCCCUACUUUACAUUUAAAAAAAGACAUUUCUGUACACUGGCUUUGGGUUUUACAUGCUAAAUAUUUUUCUAAUAUCAAUUCUUUAAUGAAUACUGCAAUUUAAUUCCUUUUUAAGUUUCUAUCGGCAUAUAGCUUACUAAAGGUUAUUCAUCAGAUGUUUUGCAAACUGGCGUGGUUAAGGUUUUGCAUUAUACGGUCAAAAAAGAAUCAGAAUUUUUACUGUGUCACCUGCCGACUGCUGUAGAGAAUCUGAUGUUCACCCCAGUUAUGACAGACAAGUUAAUAAAACUAUGGACAAAUACCCAUAAUUACACUCUAAAUGCCCUAUACAUAUCAAUUCUUAAUGUUUAGUCAGUUUCAUUAAAUUAUUUGAACUCUUGAUUCAGUGUCUUGCAUCACUUGUGGCCAUGUGCCUGAAUUAUACCAUAAAGAAAAUAAUCAGACUGUUUUAUUUUUUACUUUGCCUCCUGCAGACCACUGAUAGUUAAUAAUAAUAGUAAAUAAUAAUAGAUAAUAGUUAAUAAUUUACAAAAGCAUCUAGAAAUACCCAUAACGCCAUUGUAAAUGUCCUCUGCAGACGGCUGCAAUCCAAACUGAAAUACUCAUUCUUAGAUAUUGUUAAAAAUAGAGUCUUAUCAAUACAUAUCUCUCUCAAAGUAUGAAAAUUGAGUAGUUGGUAGGUCGUGUCAACCAUAGCCCAGAGGCAAUGCUCUUAAAUCCAGCAAAAGAGGGACAUCUACUUUCUGCACAGCGCUGAUUAUUCACUACAGGGCAUUUAACAUGCGACUGAUUGUGUGCAAUACUUUUUUAGGUAAUGACUGAUCUUAUUGACGACAGAGAUCUCAGAAACUUGUCAAUCAGAUGUGGUACCAGUGGCAUUAUAGCUCAUAGUAAUGGAUCUCUCUUAUUAUAAUUCUUUGGCUUUUAAUUCACUUGGUGAGCCACGGCUGUAUAAUAUUGCCUUGAAUCGAUUAAAAAAAGCUGUGCACACUUUCUUCUUCUUCUUUUUGGUGCAUCUUGUGAAUAUGAACCUCAUCUGUGCUAAUUAUUGAUACUGAAAUUUUUUUUUAAUGAUGAAUGCGUUUAAGGACUCCAGUUAAAAAGGUUUUCUGUUGUGUAUUUAAUUACUGCAACUCAUAGAGCUCUCUGAGUGAACCACUGAAAGCAUAUAUUUUCCUGUAUUACUGUGAUAACUCUUCUGCUGGUGUUAUGUGAUUCAACACACCCUCAGAGAAGGACCUUGUGAUGGGGAUGCUCAGACGAGCUCUGGACGGCGUCGACCUCUCAGGCCGUCGUAACCAGUGAACCUUCCAGCAGCUCCAGGCUUUUCAUCCAGGUGCAUCUCCACCAGCGUACAGUCCAUCAUUUGACCAGCCGUGGAGAAAACCCUGGAGAACGAGCUCAUACAAAGCGAAUCCGAUUUCCGGCGAUGACAAACCAGAGAGGAUUGGAGAUGCAGAGGUCCUUGAAAUCCAUGCAGGACCUCAGGAUCAUCCUCGGGAUCCUGCACUUCAGAGUGCAUAAAGUCGUUUUGACUGUGCUGAUAACUGCAGUAUGAUAAUUUUGUUUAUUGCUCCCAUGAUCACAGGUUAUUCUUAGCAUGUUUGCGUUAUACCUCGAUAUUUCUGUGUGCACAUGCUGCUUUCAUCAGAGGACUUCACCAGAUUGCUUUUCAUUUGCACUUCAUUAACACCAUAUAUUGUAGCUGUAAUAGUGUUGCCCCAUGCUGCGGAUGAUGUUAUAUUAUCUAUCAGCUGUCUGACGUAGUCUGGCACCAUAUUAGGCAACGUUGUAUGAACUGUUGCUUGAUGUGAAUUAAAAUUUCAAAUUGGAUUUUUAAAAAUGAUUUUGUGCACCUAAACAUGAUCUAAUCGAACUAAAAAUGCCAAAAUCAAAGUAGAAAUGCAUAUUGCAUUAUAACAUUGUUGACUUUGUUUCCAGACAGAAAGUUAUAAGUUGCAAUGCAUUUAGCAACACAGUGUCACUUAGGAUGCUAAAUGGUGCACCUGGAAUAGCAAACCUACCUUGCUAAAUGCACAUAAAUCUGCAGCAGGACAGAUGAUCUUAUUUCCUUUGAAAAAUAUGAAGUCCAAAAGUAUAAUUAACAUGAUUUUAAGUAGAGACUUCUCUUGAGAAAUGUGAACUUGAAUUCAUGCAUAAAGCAUGGCACACAUUAGCAUAAUUCUGUAUGAUGGAGGAACCUUUUUCCUUUCCUUACUCUGUGUCCCUUCUGUUGUGGAUAAAAUGCUGAAUGUCUUCAGUAAUGCCUGUACAGUACAGGAGCACAGCUGUGAACAGAAGUUUACAUACACUCUGAAAGACAAUGUAGAUCAUGACAGCCUUGAGUUUCCCAUGACUCCUACAACUCUUAAUUUUCUAGAAUGGAAUGACUGAAACACACGCAUCACAAAAAGCAAUCGGGCAUUUUGGGGUUUUCACUGAUAUGGCUAAGUCUGCUGAGUCAAAAAUAUACAUACAGCAAUUCUAAUUUUGGAUUCAGUGUUCCUUUGCCCAUUUUGUUUUUACCUCAGUUUGUUAUACUUGCAAACAACUGAUUGCACAGUUGAUUUUGUAAUCUGAAACAUCUUUGAAAUGGCUCCAAGUGACUUUCCUCACUUGUUGAAGUCAAGAUUUGUUGUUUCAUAUCUGUACUCUGCUCCUUCGACUUUGAGUCUAUCAAAUGGGUUGUAAUUAAGUUGACUCGGGGAAGCAGCUGUAGUCAGUCAUAAUCACUCAUGAAAAUUUAAGAGGCCAUGGCACUUUCAAUUGAUUCCCACAGCUUUCUACAUCACUAGAACUGAUAAUUCAAGUAGCUGUAUGUAUAUUUUUGACCCAGCAGAUUUUGUCAUCGUUCCAGAAGACCUAUAAUAUAUCUUUGAAUGAACCAAAAUGUAUGAUUGUUAUUUGUGACAAAGAUGCAUGUGUUUCAAGGUCUUUACAAGUGUAUGUAAACUUUUGUUCACGAUUAUUUAUGACAUUGCAGAUCAGGUUACAUUCAGCCAGAUAUUAUCAAGAUUAGACUAGCCUCUUCAUGUAGCUGACUCAGAUUUCCCAGUCAGCACAUGAAUGGUCUAAUUACACAAUUCUACAGAACUGUAUCAUCACCCCAAACUGUCAAAAUAUAAAACACACUGACAGAAGUAAACAUAGUAAAUAAUUACCUGGUGAUGGCAUGGAAAAUCAGGUUUAAGAUGAUGACAGUCAGUUGCAUAUGAGAGCAAAUAAGUGGAGAGACAUGUAACAGCAACAAAGGAUGUAAAGUAAACCUAAGAGUCAGUUUCUUCUUCAUAUACACAGAUUAUGAUGAGUACUGUAGUUUCUACAGUGGGAGAUCAGGUAGUCAGAUACUUGAGUAAAUGCAGCAAUACUGCAAUGAAAAAAAAACAUGAUUACAAGUGAAGGUCUUGCAUUCAGCAUUCAUCAAUAUCAACAAAAUGCGCUUGAAGUAUCAAAAGUAAAGGCAUCUAUUAGGUGGAUAUCCAGUUUAUUUAAGUGGACUUGGAUUUGCUGACACGUUAAGGUUAAAGCAUAUUUUUACUUUUGCAGACCUGUUAUGCCACCAGCGGCUAUGCAGUUAACCCUGCUGUGGUCAUCUUGUACCACCACUUGAAGCUUGCUGCUUUCAGCUGCUAAUGGAAAGUUAAACACAGCAAGGCUGCACUUGGUAACUGGCUUGUUGAAUAUAGUCUUUUUUGUAUUAUGUUGGGUUCACUGCAGAAAACAUCUCAGCAACAGAAAGAUUAAAUAGACAAAGAAUGUCAAAGUAACCAGCUUCAGUGUCACACAGCUGCUUUGUGAUGCAACUGGGCUCCGCCUGAGAAGGACAAUGAAAUCAGGUCAAAAGGCUGAUAAUAUUUUAACUCAACUGGGAGGCAUGCUUGGAAUAUGAAUUAGUCACCCUCUUUGUGAACUGUGUGUGCUGUUAAGGUCUAAUCAGGUUGAAAUAAUUCCAUUUAUGUUAAUUCAUUCGCUUUGCAAAAUAUAUUGUAAUGUAAAUUGGCCAGAUAAAGAUCCA